rnacentral:rRNA from 1 species
UUGUCUCAAAGAUUAAGCCAUGCAUGUCUCAGUACAAGCCGAAUUAAGGUGAAACCGCGAAAGGCUCAUUAAAUCAGUUAUGGUUCCUUAGAUCGUACCCACAUUUACUUGGAUAACUGUGGUAAUUCUAGAGCUAAUACAUGCAAACAGAGCCCCAACCGGAAACGGAAGGGGCGCUUUUAUUAGAUCAAAACCAAUCGGUGUCGGUCUCCGUCAUCGUACAACUUGGUGACUCUGAAUAACUUUACGCUGAUCGCACGGUCUCGCACCGGCGACGCAUCUUUCAAAUGUCUGCCUUAUCAACUGUCGAUGGUAGGUUCUGCGCCUACCAUGGUUGUAACGGGUAACGGGGAAUCAGGGUUCGAUUCCGGAGAGGGAGCCUGAGAAACGGCUACCACAUCCAAGGAAGGCAGCAGGCGCGCAAAUUACCCACUCCCGGCACGGGGAGGUAGUGACGAAAAAUAACGAUACGGGACUCAUCCGAGGCCCCGUAAUCGGAAUGAGUACACUCUAAACCCUUUAACGAGGAUCAAUUGGAGGGCAAGUCUGGUGCCAGCAGCCGCGGUAAUUCCAGCUCCAAUAGCGUAUAUUAAAGUUGUUGCGGUUAAAAAGCUCGUAGUCGAAUCUGUGUCCCGCGCCGCCGGUUCAUCGUUCGCGGUGUUAACUGGCGUGUCGCGGGACGUCCUGCCGGUGGGCUUAGCUCGAGAGGGCGGCCCAACUCAAUCCCGCCGCGGUGCUCUUAAUUGAGUGUCGAGGUGGGCCGGCACGUUUACUUUGAACAAAUUAGAGUGCUUAAAGCAGGCUAAAACUUCGCCUGAAUACUGUGUGCAUGGAAUAAUGGAAUAGGACCUCGGUUCUAUUUUGUUGGUUUUCGGAACCCCGAGGUAAUGAUUAAUAGGAACGGAUGGGGGCAUUCGUAUUGCGACGUUAGAGGUGAAAUUCUUGGAUCGUCGCAAGACGGACAG